AGAUGUGUAUAAGAGACAGGGGCAGCGGACCACGGUAGGAUCAGCGACUGGGGUGAAGUCGUAACAAGGUAGCCGUAGGGGAACCUGCGGCUGGAUCACCUCCUUU
rnacentral:rRNA from 1 species